rnacentral:lncRNA from 11 species
ACAUUAUUCCACAGAUCUAUAAACCUCAUUUGCCAAGUUUUCAGCAGACCUCACAACCUCCGAGGAUGCCUGCCCAUGAUGUGGGCGAAACGUCAGGAGAGAAUGCUUCUGGAACAUGGCCAUACAGACCGGAAAACUUACAGUCAUUCCGGCCAGGAAAGCAUUCGAUAACACAAAAAACAGAGAUGUUUUGUUUCAUAAAGGCGACAGUUUGGGGAAGGAGGGAAUAGAAAGGAAUGAUUUCUCCCCAUUCUGAACAUUUCCGUUCCCAUUCAGUUCCCAUCCCACUUGUUGCCUGGGCCGGAAGGGAGGGAGGGACCCUUUCUCUCUGGAUCCCUCCCCUCCAGUCCGGAGACCAACCAGAUCCUGAGAUCCACUGCGGGGCAACACAAACCGAGAGGUGGAUCCGACGCCGCUUUUCCCCCGUGGGAGCAAAGCAGGAAUGUGCCCAGAAUGUUGCCAGAGUGCUGUUGGGCCCAAAACUCUGAUACAACCUGUCUUCCAAGAACAACAGUUGGUAAGUAUUGGUCAUAGUUCUUUAUGCUAAAAUUAUAAUCCUAAUGUAUAUGAUGUAUAUAAUGUAUAGGAGCCCCGGUGGCGAAGUACGUUAAAGCACUGAGCUGGAGAUCGAAAGGUCUCAGGUUCAAUCUCCGGGAGCGGCGGGAGCGGCCGCUGUUAGUUCCAGCUCCUGCCAACCUAGCAGUUCGAAAAC